AUUGAACGCUGGCGGCAGGCCUAACACAUGCAAGUCGAAUGGUAACAGGAAACAGCUUGCUGUUUCGCUGACGAGUGGCGGACGGGUGAGUAAUGUCUGGGAAACUGCCUGAUGGAGGGGGAUAACUACUGGAAACGGUAGCUAAUACCGCAUAACGUCGCAAGACCAAAGAGGGGGACCUUCGGGCCUCUUGCCAUCAGAUGUGCCCAGAUGGGAUUAGCUAGUAGGUGGGGUAACGGCUCACCUAGGCGACGAUCCCUAGCUGGUCUGAGAGGAUGACCAGCCACACUGGAACUGAGACACGGUCCAGACUCCUACGGGAGGCAGCAGUGGGGAAUAUUGCACAAUGGGCGCAAGCCUGAUGCAGCCAUGCCGCGUGUAUGAAGAAGGCCUUCGGGUUGUAAAGUACUUUCAGCGGGAGGAAGGGAGUAAAGUUAAUACCUUUGCUCAUUGACGUUACCCGCAGAAGAAGCACCGGCUAACUCCGUG
rnacentral:rRNA from 1 species